rnacentral:pre_miRNA from 1 species
UUUCUACUCCCUCCGUCCGAAAAUACUUGUCAUCAAAAUGGAUAAAAAGAGAUGUAUCUAAAACUAAAAUACGUCUAGAUACAUUUCCUUUUAUCCAUUUUGAUGACAACUAUUUCCGGACGGAGGGAGUAUUUG